rnacentral:rRNA from 1 species
UACCUGCAGCUCAAGUGGUGACCGCUAUUAUUGGGCCUAAAACGUUCGUAGCCGGCUGAGUAAAUGCUUGGGUAAAUCGUGCCGCUUAACGGUACGAAUUCCGGGUAGACUGCUCAGCUUGAGACCGGGAGAAGCUAGAGGUACUCCUGGGGUAGAGGUGAAAUUCUGUAAUCCUGGGGGGACCACCAGUGGCGAAGGCGUCUAGCUAGAACGGGUCUGACGGUGAGGGACGAAACCCUGGGGCGCAAACCGGAUUAGAUACCCGGGUAGUCCAGGGCGCAAACGCUGCUUGCUUGAUGUUAGCUGGGCUCCGAGCUCAGCUAGUGUCGGAGAGAAGUUGUUAAGCAAGCUGCCUGGGAAUACGAUCGCAAGAUUGAAACUUAAAGGAAUUGGCGGGGGAGCACAGCAACGGGUGGAGCGUGCGGUUU